GACGAACGCUGGCGGCGUGCUUAACACAUGCAAGUCGAACGGAAAGGCCCUGCUUUUGUGGGGUGCUCGAGUGGCGAACGGGUGAGUAACACGUGAGUAACCUGCCCUUGACUUUGGGAUAACUUCAGGAAACUGGGGCUAAUACCGGAUAGGAGCUCCUGCUGCAUGGUGGGGGUUGGAAAGUUUCGGCGGUUGGGGAUGGACUCGCGGCUUAUCAGCUUGUUGGUGGGGUAGUGGCUUACCAAGGCUUUGACGGGUAGCCGGUCUGAGAGGGUGACCGGCCACAUUGGGACUGAGAUACGGCCCAGACUCCUACGGGAGGCAGCAGUGGGGAAUAUUGCACAAUGGGCGGAAGCCUGAUGCAGCAACGCCGCGUGCGGGAUGACGGCCUUCGGGUUGUAAACCGCUUUCGCCUGUGACGAAGCGUGAGUGACGGUAAUGGGUAAAGAAGCACCGGCUAACUACGUG
rnacentral:rRNA from 1 species